rnacentral:ncRNA from 1 species
UGUGGUGGUUUGGGGUACUUAUGCAUUUAAUUACUACACACCUAGCCCACACAACCACAAACAUAAAUGCUAACACACCUAUAAACAUAAGCAUCAAUGCACCUAACCCAUUUACUUACCCACACAUAUAAUCGAUGCAUCUUGUUGGUGACCAUUCUCCUCUCAAGUAAACAGUUAAUCAUGUGUUAGUUAGACCAAGUAGGUCCAAGGGGGAUAGAGGUUAAUGCAUUAAUAAUCACCUAACCUAAACCUUUAAUCUACACCCCCUAACCUUCUAAAUCAUCGAGCCAUAACUCAUAACCCUUCUAAAGAUGCAAUGUGAUUUAUUUUCAUUUCUUUGCAUGUCAAAGUGAAGAAAAUCAACCAAGCGCGGGUAAACGGCGGGAGUAACUACAAAUCUCUUAAAGUAGCCAGAUGCCUCGUCAUCUAAUUAUUGACACCAAUGAAUGGAUUAACAAGAUUUCCCAUUGUCCCUAGCUACUAUAUUCUAGACAAACCACAUCCAAGGGAAUGGGAUUGGAAGAAUUAGCGGGGAAAGAAGACCUUGUUGAGCUUGACUCUAGUCCUAACCAAUUCAUAGU